rnacentral:rRNA from 1 species
CGGGUGAGAACGCGUGGAUAACCUGCCUCACACUGGGGGAUAACAGUUAGAAAUGACUGCUAAUACCGCAUGAGCGCACAGUACCGCAUGGUACGGUGUGAAAAACUCCGGUGGUGUGAGAUGGAUCCGCGUCUGAUUAGCCAGUUGGCGGGGUAACGGCCCACCAAAGCGACGAUCAGUAGCCGACCUGAGAGGGUGACCGGCCACAUUGGGACUGAGACACGGCCCAA